rnacentral:tRNA from 1 species
UGUCCUAGUAUAGUUCUUGUACUUAGGUUUUUGAAGCCUGCAGAAUAAACACAU